rfam:Triticum aestivum genome assembly, contig: Triticum_aestivum_CS42_TGACv1_scaffold_288268_4AL
UAGCUCAGAGGAUUAGAGCACGUGGCUACGAACCACAGUGUCGGGGGUUCAAAUCCCUU